rnacentral:rRNA from 1 species
GGUCUCCUGGAAACGGGUGGUAAUGCCGGAUGUUCCACAUGAUCGCAUGUGAUUGUGGGAAAGAUUCUAUCGGCGUGGGAUGGGGUCGCGUCCUAUCAGCUUGUUGGUGAGGUAACGGCUCACCAAGGCUUCGACGGGUAGCCGGCCUGAGAGGGCGACCGGCCACAUUGGGACUGAGAUACGGCCCAGACUCCUACGGGAGGCAGCAGUGGGGAAUAUUGCACAAUGGGCGCAAGCCUGAUGCAGCGACGCCGCGUGAGGGAUGGAGGCCUUCGGGUUGUAAACCUCUUUUGUUUGGGAGCAAGCCUUCGGGUGAGUGUACCUUUCGAAUAAGCGCCGGCUAACUACGUGCCAGCAGCCGCGGUAAUACGUAGGGCGCAAGCGUUAUCCGGAUUUAUUGGGCGUAAAGGGCUCGUAGGCGGCUCGUCGCGUCCGGUGUGAAAGUCCAUCGCUUAACGGUGGAUCUGCGCCGGGUACGGGCGGGCUGGAGUGCGGUAGGGGAGACUGGAAUUCCCGGUGUAACGGUGGAAUGUGUAGAUAUCGAAAAAAAACACCA